rnacentral:rRNA from 1 species
AGUGAACGCUGGCGGUAGGCCUAACACAUGCAAGUCGAACGGCAGCACAGUAAGAGCUUGCUCUUACGGGUGGCGAGUGGCGGACGGGUGAGGAAUACAUCGGAAUCUACUUUUUCGGGGGGGAUAACGUAGGGAAACUUACGCUAAUACCGCAUACGACCUACGGGUGAAAGCAGGGGAUCUUCGGACCUUGCGCGAUUGAAUGAGCCGAUGUCGGAUUAGCUAGUUGGCGGGGUAAAGGCCCACCAAGGCGACGAUCCGUAGCUGGUCUGAGAGGAUGAUCAGCCACACUGGAACUGAGACACGGUCCAGACUCCUACGGGAGGCAGCAGUGGGGAAUAUUGGGCAAUGGGCGCAAGCCUGAUCCAGCCAUGCCGCGUGGGUGAAGAAGGCCUUCGGGUUGUAAAGCCCUUUUGUUGGGAAAGAACAGCAGUAGGUUAAUACCCCGAUGUUCUGACGGUACCCAAAGAAUAAGCACCGGCUAACUUCGUG